UUUUCGAAGCAGUUUUUUGGGAUUUCUCGCAGAUGCGUUUUCACCUAAUUCGUUUAAAUCAUUAAUGAAAUGAAUCUUAAACUGGUGUCUAUUGUUUAUAUAUUCUGCAUCUGCGGUAUUAGCUGCACUGCAAGCAAUGAAGACACUUCCGUCCUGCCAGAAGGCUUUGUGGAUGCCACACAGAGAUCGACGCACACUAAUAACUGGGCAGUGCUGGUGGAUGCCUCCCGGUUCUGGUUCAAUUAUCGGCAUGUAGCCAACGUCCUGUCCAUCUAUCGGUCUGUGAAGCGCCUCGGCAUUCCCGACUCGCAGAUCAUCCUAAUGAUAGCAGACGAUAUGGCCUGCAACGCCCGCAAUCCGCGUCCCGGCCAGGUCUAUAACAACGCCAACCAGCAUAUCAACGUCUACGGCGACGACGUGGAGGUGGACUAUCGCGGCUACGAGGUGACCGUGGAGAACUUUGUCCGCCUCCUCACUGGGCGCACCCAGAACGGUACGGCGCGCUCUAAGAAGCUGCUCUCCGAUGCCGGCAGCAAUGUUCUCAUCUACCUCACGGGUCAUGGCGGCGAUGGUUUCCUGAAGUUCCAGGACUCGGAGGAGAUAACCAGCCAGGAGUUGGCCGACGGCAUCCAGCAGAUGUGGGAGAAGAAACGCUACAAUGAGCUCUUCUUCAUGGUGGACACUUGCCAGGCGGCCUCGUUGUACGAGAAGUUCAGUUCGCCCAAUGUCCUGGCUGUGGCCAGCAGCCUGGUGGGGCAGGAUUCGCUCUCGCAUCACGUGGAUCCUUCGAUUGGUGUGUACAUGAUCGACCGCUAUACCUACUAUGCCCUGGAGUUCCUGGAGAAGGUACAGCCGUUCAGCACCCGCACCAUUGGCGAUUUCCUGCAAGUGUGCCCCAAGCGUGUCUGCAUCUCAACUGUUGGCGUGCGCAAGGACCUCUACCGCCGCGAUCCCCAUAAAGUGCCCAUAACGGACUUCUUUGGCGCCAUCCGGCCCACACGCGUCUCCACGGACCGCAUCAAUGUGACGCUGGCCAACGAGAGUGAUUUUAUUGCCGAUCCGGACGAGAUUUCUGCGAACAAGAGGCCGUUCAAGAUCAUAAUGGAGCCCCAGUUUCCGUCCGAAUUUUUCAAAUAAAGUGAGUGGUGGGCGAAUCGGGAGACCAGCAAGCAGAUCCAACAGAUUCGACAGAUCCCAACAGGCAGAUCCAUCAUUCAUGUGAUAAUAUUAAUUUUAUUCAUUCUUUACCUCCGCCAUUGUCGUCUAUACUGUUACACUCUACAAAAAAUGUUAAUCGCCUGCCCCGCCCGACUAUCUCGCCAGAUCCCUCCUAUAUGUAUUGCCAUAUCGUAUGCGGUAGCUCUCUUUCAGGUGCCUUCCAAUGAAAUAAACCAAACCAAAAACAGCACUAUGGCUUGGACUGCAUCUGCAUCUGCAUGAGAGUGCACUGGAUCAACUACUCACGACUGACUCACUCACUCCCAUCUGGCCCAGCAAUUUCUUGACAUAUUUCGGUGUAUACUUUUCAGGGCGGUCCAGUGCUGGAUCGAGUUGCGUCUCUGAGGAGGAACUGCCAUGGGAAGCAGAUAUCUGUGGAUAACAGAUCUAAGAAUAGUGCAGCAUUAUUUUUUGUAAGAUCUCCCCUUGUAUGUACAUAUGACGAGCAUCGGCAUUCCCCAAAUAAACGGAAAGACAAACAUA